AACGUAGGAGGCUAGCGUUAUCCGGAUUUACUGGGCGUAAAGCGCGUGCAGGCGGUCAGUUAAGUCAGGCGUGAAAUCUCUCGGCUUAACCGGGAGGGGUCGUUUGAUACUGGCUGACUUGAGUGCAGGAGAGGGAAGCAGAAUUCCCGGUGUAGCGGUAAUAUGCGCAGAUAUCGGGAGGAAUACCAGUGGCGAAGGCGGCUUCCUGGCCUGUAACUGACGCUAAGACGCGAAAGCUAGGGGAGCGAACGGG
rnacentral:rRNA from 1 species